CCCCCCCCCCCACCAAGCUGCCCACCAGAGGCCAAGCUGUACUUGGUGUUUGCCAACAUGCUGUAAUUUCCAGCCUGGUUGCUGUAGCCACAGAGGAAUUUUCAAGGACAAGAACCAGUGCUGGUAAAACUGUGGUCUCUGUGGUUUUCCAUACCGGCUCUCGGCAAGGAUUUUCAAGAAAGGAAUACCAUCUCCAAAUCAUGAUGUGCCAAUAAGCUCCAGUUAGCUGCGGCCCUUUCCCCAGGCGGUAGUCCUGCAAUCUGAAUCCAGGAGAUGCAGCUCUGAAUCCAAUAUUUCAGAAGAAUGAAGAUGUUAGUCAACUCUGUAGUACUUGUUUGUGUGUAAAUGAUUCCAUUGAGUGAGAUUUAUAGCAAAUCAGGUGUAAAUAAGCAUCUUAUAGACAAUAGUGAAGUGCUGUACUCUGAAUUUAAUGCCAAAUCUAGCCUUCAAAACAGAUUCUUAAAGUAAAAAAAAUUUAAAAAUGGGCAUAAUAAUGCUAUCUCUGCAUUUUCUACAUCAUGUAGCCACCUCAUACAUGAAAACACUAGCAGUUGUCAUGAAUCUUUAAGUUUUGGUGUGUUUUUUGCCAUUUCCUUUGUUGCGCCAUUUGUCCCGGAAGCUAACAAUUUGGCAUAUAGUGUUGUUUAGACUGUCUAUUAACACAUGAUCACUAAAUUUCUUGUGUUAAACUGGACAGUUCUGUUACCUUUGUAUAUAAGUGGACCAGAAAAGCAAAAUUUUGACAAGUUGAGGCAUUUCAGUUUGGCUCUAUGUCAUUUUUUAUAUAAAACACUAAGCCGAUGAAGUGGAAAAACCUUAUUUUGCUUGGGAAAAAAUCUUAAAAGAGUAGGCAGGCCAGUUCUGUGGUGCUGUUCUAUAGACACCAUUAAAAGCUACAAGGAAAACUUUACUUGGUCAAAUUAUUCCAAUGCAUAAGGAAAUAAUGGCUCUUCAAAGGUUUGCGGCUUAACAUUUGAGGGAAAUGGCUGUUUCUGCUUUUUAUGAAAAUACCACAGGUGCUAAUACUUGUCUCAUUCAUUUAGUGUUUGAUAUAUCAUUGCCAAACUUUCAGUAUGUGUUGCAUAUAGCCUGAAGCUGAACUAUAGGAGUUUUGAAGUCUGUUUCUGAAAAAAUGUUGCUUAAAUAGGCUCAAGACCACAGUUAUCUGCCCCCCGUUGACCAAGAUCCGGAUGUGAAUACAGAAACAAAGAGUGCUUGUGUUCAAGUAUCAAUAUUUUAUUAAAAUUGAAUGAAAAAGAAGCAAAAAAUGUUCUUUUUGCAGAGAACUUGACUGAAUUUGACACUCUAUUGCAGAAAUUGAUAGUUUUCAAUGUA